UACGUAGGGUGCGAGCGUUGUCCGGAAUUAUUGGGCGUAAAGAGCUCGUAGGCGGUCUGUCGCGUCGAUCGUGAAAACUUGGGGCUUAACCCUGAGCUUGCGGUCGAUACGGGCAUGACUGGAGUUCGGCAGGGGAGACUGGAAUUCCUGGUGUAGCGGUGAAAUGCGCAGAUAUCAGGAGGAACACCGGAGGCGAAGGCGGCUAACUGGUGGAGCAUUGACGCUGAGGCGCGAAAGCGCGGGUAGCAAACAGG
rnacentral:rRNA from 1 species